rnacentral:rRNA from 1 species
GAGUUUGAUCUUGGCUCAGAACGAACGCUGGCGGCGUGGAUAAGACAUGCAAGUCGAACGGGAGAAUUGCUAGCUUGCUAAUAAUUCUCUAGUGGCGCACGGGUGAGUAACACGUGAGUAACCUGCCCCCGAGAGCGGGAUAGCCCUGGGAAACUGGGAUUAAUACCGCAUAGUAUCGAAAGAUUAAAGCAGCAAUGCGCUUGGGGAUGGGCUCGCGGCCUAUUAGUUAGUUGGUGAGGUAACGGCUCACCAAGGCGAUGACGGGUAGCCGGUCUGAGAGGAUGUCCGGCCACACUGGAACUGAGACACGGUCCAGACACCUACGGGUGGCAGCAGUCGAGAAUCAUUCACAAUGGGGGAAACCCUGAUGGUGCGACGCCGCGUGGGGAAUGAAGGUCUUCGGAUUGUAAACCCCUGUCAUGUGGGAGCAAAUUAAAAAGAUAGUACCACAAGAGGAAGAGACGGCUAACUCUGUGCCAGCAGCCGCCGUAAG